rnacentral:rRNA from 1 species
GAGAGAGCUUGCUCUCUUGGUGGCGAGUGGCGGACGGGUGAGUAAUAUAUCGGAACGUGCCCAGUAGCGGGGGAUAACUACUCGAAAGAGUGGCUAAUACCGCAUACGCCCUACGGGGGAAAGGGGGGGAUUCUUCGGAACCUCUCACUAUUGGAGCGGCCGAUAUCGGAUUAGCUAGUUGGUGGGGUAAAGGCUCACCAAGGCAACGAUCCGUAGCUGGUUUGAGAGGACGACCAGCCACACUGGGACUGAGACACGGCCCAGACUCCUACGGGAGGCAGCAGUGGGGAAUUUUGGACAAUGGGGGAAACCCUGAUCCAGCCAUCCCGCGUGUAUGAUGAAGGCCUUCGGGUUGUAAAGUACUUUUGGCAGAGAAGAAAAGGUAUCUCCUAAU